rnacentral:tRNA from 1 species
GCCUGGCUGGCUCAGUUGGUAAAGCAUGUGACUCUUGAUCUUGAGAUCGUGUGUUCGAGUCCCACACUGGGUG